CCCUUAGAUGUUCUGGGCCGCACGCGUGCUACACUGAGUGGAUCAGCGGGUCAGGUUGCGCGAAAGCGUUUCCUAAUCUUUAAAUCCGCUCGUGAUGGGGAUUGACGGUUGCAAUUUUCUGUCAUGAACGAGGAAUACCUUGUAAGCGCGGGUCAUCAUCGCGCGCUGAAUACGUCCCUGCCCUUUGUACACACCGCCCGUCGCUCCUACCGAUUGAGUGGUCCGGUGAGGCUUUGGGAUCUGAGCGGAAAGAGCGUUUCGCUGUUUCUGCUCGGAAAACUCAGUCGAACCUUAUCAUUUAGAGGAAGGAGAAGUCGUAACA
rnacentral:rRNA from 1 species